rnacentral:rRNA from 1 species
GACGAACGCUGGCGGCGUGCUUAACACAUGCAAGUCGAACGGAAAGGCCCUGCUUUUGUGGGGUGCUCGAGUGGCGAACGGGUGAGUAACACGUGAGUAACCUGCCCUUGACUUUGGGAUAACUUCAGGAAACUGGGUCUAAUACCGGAUAGGAGCUCCUGCUGCAUGGUGGGGGUUGGAAAGUUUCGGCGGUUGGGUAUGGACUCGCGGCUUAUCAGCUUGUUGGUGGGGUAGUGGCUUACCAAGGCUUUGACGGGUAGCCGGCCUGAGAGGGUGACCGGCCACAUUGGGACUGAGAUACGGCCCAGCCUCCUACGGGAGGAAGCAGUGGGGAAUAUUGCACAAUGGGCGGAAGCCUGAUGCAGCAACGCCGCGUGCGGGAUGACGGCCUUCGGGUUGUAAACCGCUUUCGCCUGUGACGAAGCGUGAGUGACGGUAAUGGGUAAAGAAGCACCGGCUAACUACGUG